UUUUUUUUAUAUCAAUUUGGAUCUGAGCCUUGGAGACACCUACAGGUCUCCUCGAUGCUGUCCGAGGUUGAACAUAUGGAGAGGCUUCUUGGCUUUGGAGACCCACAGGUCUCUUCAGUGUUGUCCAAAGUCCCCCACAGCCCGUAGUUUGUUGAGACCAAUUGUACGAUUCCAAUGGAAAAUCCAUUCUAGUGGCUCCAGGGAUGGCUCAGUUUAGGAGAUUUGAUGUCGGGAGGUGGAAGGAAGCAUGGGAGAUUUCGGUUCGGCGGGAUUGACAUUGAAAAUCAUUGAUCAGACUGUGCUGAUGUCGAGAAGCUACAAAUUUGAUCAGAUUUAGCACCAGGAGGUGCAUUGAGGCUUGGGAGCUUAUCGGUUUGACGAGAUGGUGGUUGAUG
rnacentral:lncRNA from 1 species